rnacentral:rRNA from 1 species
CCGCCAGUGUAUAUCUAUGCUGCUGCGGUUAAAAAGCUCGUAGUUGGAUCUUCGUGCCAGAAACUGGUCCACCUUUUGGGUGUGCACUGGCUUUCGGCACUGAGUCGUCGGUUUUCCUUUGAUGCCCUUAACCGGGUGUCCUUGGUGGCUGACAUGUUUACUUUGAAAAAAUUAGAGUGCUCAAAACAAGCGAUUCGCUUGAAUAUUCGUGCAUGGAAUAAUAGAAUAGGUCCUUGGUUCUAUUUUGUUGGUUUUCGGAGCACAAGGAAAUGAUUAAGAGGGACAGACGGGGGCAUUCGUACUCCGACGUUAGAGGUGAAAUUCUUGGAUCGUCGGAUGACGCACUACUGCGAAAGCAUUUGCCAAGAAUGUUUUCAUUAA